rnacentral:rRNA from 1 species
UUAGAGUUUGAUCAUGGCUCAGGACGAACGCUGGCGGCGUGCCUAAUACAUGCAAGUCGAACGAGGCUUUUUGAUUGAUGCUUGCAUCAGCUAAAAAGCCGAGUGGCGAAUGGGUGAGUAACACGUGGGUAACCUGCCUUGAAGCGGGGGAUAACAUUUGGAAACAGAUGCUAAUACCGCAUAACCACAAAAACCUCCUGGUUUUUGUGUCAAAGAUGGUUCUGCUAUCACUUCAAGAUGGACCCGCGGCGUAUUAGCUUGUUGGUGAGGUAACGGCUCACCAAGGCAAUGAUACGUAGCCGAACUGAGAGGUUGAUCGGCCACAUUGGGACUGAGACACGGCCCAAACUCCUACGGGAGGCAGCAGUAGGGAAUCUUCCACAAUGGACGCAAGUCUGAUGGAGCAACGCCGCGUGAGUGAAGAAGGUCUUCGGAUCGUAAAACUCUGUUGUCAGAGAAGAACGUGCGUGAGAGCAACUGUUCAUGCAGUGACGGUAUCUGACCAGAAAGUCACGGCUAACUACGUGCCAGCAGCCGCGGUAAUACGUAGGUGGCAAGCGUUGUCCGGAUUUAUUGGGCGUAAAGGGAACGCAGGCGGUCUUUUAAGUCUGAUGUGAAAGCCUUCGGCUUAACCGAAGUCGUGCAUUGGAAACUGGGGGACUUGAGUGCAGAAGAGGAGAGUGGAACUCCAUGUGUAGCGGUGAAAUGCGUAGAUAUAUGGAAGAACACCAGUGGCGAAAGCGGCUCUCUGGUCUGUAACUGACGCUGGGGUUCGAAAGCAUGGGUAGCAAACAGGAUUAGAUACCCUGGUAGUCCACGCCGUAAACGAUGAAUGCUAAGUGUUUGGAGGGUUUCCGCCCUUCAGUGCCGCAGCUAACGCAUUAAGCAUUCCGCCUGGNGGAGUACGAUCGCAAGAUUGAACCCAAAAGGGAAUUGACGGGGGCCCGCACAAGCGGUGGAGCAUGGGGGUUUAAUUCGAAGCAACGCGAAGAACCUUACCAGGUCUUGACAUCUUUU